rnacentral:rRNA from 1 species
UACGUAGGGUGCAAGCGUUAUCCGGAUUCACUGGGUUUAAAGGGUGCGUAGGUGGGUUGGUAAGUCAGUGGUGAAAUCCCCGAGCUUAACUUGGGAACUGCCAUUGAUACUAUCAGUCUUGAAUACCGUGGAGGUCAGCGGAAUAUGUCAUGUAGCGGUGAAAUGCUUAGAUAUGACAUAGAACACCAAUUGCGAAGGCAGCUGGCUACUCGGAUAUUGACACUGAGGCACGAAAGCGUGGGGAUCAAACAGG